rnacentral:lncRNA from 1 species
UUCUGAUCUAAUGCACUUGAGGAAGCUGUAACAUCACUAGCCAAAAUGCUGAGAGUAUUUAACCUGAAUCUGAUAAAGACAAUCAGACAAUUGUAGUUGAAAUAACCGCUCUUCUGGACUCUUUAAAAGAGCAGUAUUGUGAAAAUGAAAGCAAUAGAGUUGCUCUAGAAUAAAAAUGACUAGCCGGGGAUGUAGCUCAUUAGUAGAGCUCUUGCCUGCCAUUGUCCUGGGUUCAAUCCCCAGCAUUGCAUAACAAAUAAACAAACAAAACCCUCAAAUAUUCAAACUGUUAGAAUAAAAAUGACUAGACAGCUAAAUUGAAUGUGUGAUUUUGUUUUGGAGCCUGAAUCAAAGUGAGGAGGAAGGUGGCUACCAAGGGGACAAUUAGAAAAUUUGUGAUGAUUGGGAGUCUUGACAUAUUAGAUUUUGUCAUUAUACCAAUGUAAAAUAUUUGGAGUGUGA